rnacentral:rRNA from 1 species
GAUGAACGCUAGCGGCAGGCCUAAUACAUGCAAGACGAACGGUAAGAUUGAUAGCAAUAUUGAUCCUAGAGUGUCGUACGGGUGCGUAACACGUAUGCAACUUACCUUGUACAGGAGUAUAGCUCGGGGAAACUCGAAUUAACCCUCCAUAAGAUGAGUAGAGGUGGCAUCACUUAGUGAUUAAAAUUCCGAUGGUAAAG